GAAAAAGUCACACUCACUUAUAUUUUUUUGACCGAGUAACAUAUAUACAUAUACUGAAACAAAUAAGAAAGCAAAUUAUAAAACAAAAUGAGCGAUGAACAAUUUCCGCAUUUUCAGCCUGGGGUGUCCGAAGAAAAUAAUGAAAACUCUUCUAAUGUGACUCUAGAUCGACCGAUGUCAACACCAUCGGAUGAAAUUGUGGAGGCUUUGGAAAUGGUUGUAGACCCACCUUCACUGCCCGAUCCAGAAGCUACGACUUCCGCGCCUCGCAGGAGCGCAAGGAUUUCUAAUCGUGAUAAAACUCAUAAGGAGCUUGGAAAAACCAUAAGCGGAAAGGUGCACAAAUCGACAAAGGCUCGAUCUGGUCAACGUUUGAAAACCUGUCACAAAUGCGGAAAUUCUCACAUCUGUUUCCCGGCGCGCACAAAGUAUUAUACUUGCGCCGAGGUCGAUGGCCAACUUGUUAAAGUUAAACAGAUUAGCGGCAAAGUGGCACGGGCGCCCCCUAAAAAAUAAUAGUUCCCGUCAAGCUCAACCUUCAUAGAUGUUACCAGAAAAAAAAUUCUAAAAACAAAAAAAAUUUAAUGUUAAAAUAAUUUUGAAAGAUGAAUGCUGCUUAUCAACCGAUUUCUUUUCAAGACCUCCAAGUGCCAAUUUGCAAUGGCUGAAUUAUUUGCAGUCUUCGUGGUGGAGGCCAUUACUACCCAGCUACCCAUUAGGUUGGAUGGAUAAUGAAAUGGAAAACCUUUUAUGUUACAUUAAAUUUGACUGCGUGCCGAGUGACAGAGUGAGUGAGGGUCCUGUGACUGCUCCACAGCCCACAGCCCACGGCUCCAGUGUUUCUGUGCCCCGGUGCCCCCGGUGGCACUGUUUCCUGGCUGGCGGGCUUGUCAAAGUUGUCGCAACAUUGUGGCGCUGUCAGUGUCAUUGUCGCUGCAGAUUAUGGCGGCCUGAAUGCGUAAAUGAUGCUUAAUUAACAUUUUCCCGGGCUCCAGCCAGGCGAAAGCCGAGGAAUGUCGUCUACGGAGUGGUGUGGUGCGGCGCGGUGGCCAGAAAUUGCAAGUUAUGCGCGUUUCCAAGCCAAAAAUAAGCAACUGAAACGGGGCCAAGUGGCGGAGUGGAAUGUGGGAUGUGGCAGUGAGAAGACGCUGGAAAAGUGGGCCAAAAAGGUGAAGCGAGUCGCUCAACAAAGCCACAAACGGAUGCGAAUAAAGGACACGAAAUUGGUCGGAUGUCUUAGGCAUGCAGUUACAAACUUAAAAUGGCCUUAAAAAAAUAAAAAAUAUAUAUUUU